UGUGGGGCUGAAGGUAUGAGCCAUCGUGGCUGCCUCUGGGUGGGGUUGGCAGUGUGUGCCGCGGUGGCUGCCUUUCAAGUUGCUUUUCUCUUAGGCAUUUUGUCGAAAUGAGAAAAGAAACUAGCAGCUUUUCGCUCGUGUGUGUGUGUGUGUGUGUGUGUGUGUGUGUGUGUGUGUGUGUGUGUGUGGUCUGAAGACAUGGCUCAGCUUGGCGUAGAGGCACAGAGACGUCGCUGGAAACUUCAUCUCACCAGGCCUGAUUUCUUCAUCUGUAACAGAUGCCGUGGUAACCGCGUCAAGCUGCCUUAAUAACUGCACAGACGUUAGUAAAUGUCAGCUCAGUGUUAAGAUGGCCGCACCGCGUGUUCUAAGCACAUUUCAGGCCCUGGGGCCAUGACCGUGGGAUCUUAAACAGCCAACUGCCCACAGCUACAGAGAAGGUGUUGAUUAGGCUGAGACGAAGCCCAGUUAUUCCUUCAGGAGUUCAUUUGUCCGCUCAUUCACCGAGGUUUUUAAGUUUUUUAAAUUGUGUGUGUAUGUAUGUGAUGUGCAUAUAGGUCCUGAUACCCACAGAGACCAGGGGUGUCAGUUCCCCCCCUGGAGCUGGUGUUACAGUUCAGGGCUGAGAACUGUGGGUGCUGAGAACCAAACUUGAGUCUUCCACAAGAGCAGAAGUGCCUUUUAGCUCUGAGCCUUCUCUUCUUUGCCAAACUCUGGUCCACAGGAGAGCAGCUCUCAGGGGAAGGGGACCUGGGCUUUUUUUUUUCUUUCUUUUUUUUUUUUUUCGGAGCUGGGGACCAAACCCAGGGCCUUGUGCUUGCUAGGCAAACACUCUACCACUGAGCUAAAUCCCCAACCCCUGGAGACCUGGGCUUACACGGUUAGUCCCAGGUGAUAGAAAUGGUCACUAAUCCAGGCACACACUGCCCUAGUACUUGGGCAGGAAGAUCGAGAGUUCAAGGCUAGCCUGAGCUACAUGACGCUCUGUCUUGAAAAAAAAACAAACAAAAUCAAAGUAAAAGAAUACACACUAGGGGGCUGGAGAGAUGGCUCAGUGGUUAAGAGCUCUGACUGCUCUUCCAGAGGUCCUGAGUUCAAUUUCCAGCAACCACAUGGUGGCUCACAACCAUCUGUAAUGGGAUCCAAAACCUUCAUCUGAUGUGUCUGAAGACAGCAACAGUGUACUCACUCUACAGUGUACUCACAUACAUAAAAUAAAUAAAAAUCUUAAAAAAAAAAAAAAAGAAUACACACUAAAGCCCAUAGCUGGGACCGAAGUCUAUGUUGGGGGUGGUUGCUCACAUUAGAGGUAGACAUGACCUAUACCCAGGGCUGCACCUCUCCUCUGCGUGCCACGCCGCCCAGGCAGCUGACUGGCAAACUUGGGAGUGGAUGAGUUGGUUUAAUGUGUUUGCUGGUGUCCCGCGCUAUCGUCUCUCCAGCAAGAACACACGCGGACACCAGGAUCCUUCUGCAGCAAAGUGUUUAUUGCAUCUUGAAGAGGAGAGACGCCAUGGCCCCAGAGAGCGUUAGCUUUAUAUCCCCCAAAGCAACGUGUUCCUUCCCGAUUGGCCGCAUAGCCGUGAUCUCAUUGGCACGCCCUGGGGUGGGCAAAGACUUGACUCGAACACACCCUUGCGCAUGCGCACUGCGUCCUUCGGGGGUGGACAACAGCUGUGCCCUGUACUAACAGACAACAGCUGGUACGAGUGGCUACCAACAUGCUGGUGUUUCUCCCCCCAAGAUUUAAAAAAAAAAAAAGUGUGCGAAUGUAUGCACACAUGUGUGCAGGUGCCCUCGGAUUCCAGAAGAGGGCACUAGAUCUCCUGGAGCAGGAGGUACAGGUGGUUGUGAACCACUCGAUGUGACAACAAUCCAACUUGGGCCCUCUCUUAACCACCAAGCUAUCUCUAUUCCACUGUUCUUGAGGGUAGACUUUGUAACAGAGAGAUCUUAAGUUUACUUUUUUAUGGUUAUUGUGUGAGUGAGUAAGCUACCACACAUGCGUGCGUGCAUUCGUGAGUGUGUGUGUGUGUGUGUGUGUGUGUGUGAACAUCAGGGAACUGCUGUCCUGUCUCCCUCCUACUAUAGGUUCCCUCAGGUCAUAGAGUUUCACAGCAGGGGCCUUAACCUUCAAAGUCACCUCACUGGGCCUCCACCAUGACAGCCCUCACCUUUCAUCCCAGCACUUGAGGCACAGGCAGGCAGACCUCCGAGUCUGGGGCCCGCCUGGACUGCAUGGAAAGUCGCAAGUCAGUCACUAUCACUUAGCGAGAUCCUGUAUAAACGUCUAGGUACUGAGAAACGGCCUAGCAACUAAAGAGCUUGUUUCUAAAGUAGCAAAAGUGAGGACUAGAGUUAGGAUCCCCAGAGCCAAACCAUGCCUGUGGCAGCCUACCUCUGGUUCCGGUGCUCACAAGGCAAGAGACAUGGAUCUCUGGACACAGCUGGAGACAGACUGGCUGUUGAAGAGCUCUAGGUUCAGUUGACAAGCCCUGCCUCCACUGGUAAAGGGAAGACAGAAGUUUGAGGCUAACCUGGGCUACAUAAUGAGGCCAAAACAAACCCUGUUCUGUGUACCUUGUUUACAGGAUCACAGAGCAGGUGUCUAUCACUGUGUGUAGCUUCCCCGGCCUCCACAGCAAACUGGGUGAGUCUACACAUCCAGGGGACUCACUCAUGACUCUGGCCGGGAUCCAGGGGGCUCAGAGCUGAGGCUGUUUCUCCUUUGGGGUACAUAUGUAGCAGGUAUACAGGUUAAACUGAAGUUAACCUCAUCUCUACUCCAGAUGAUGGGGUGAUUGACCAACAUGAUACACAAGAGGCAAUCUGCGCCCAUCCUCAAGCCCUCAGUUAAUGACAGCCAGUAUUCCUAAUAACAGUCUCCUUGCCUGAGUGUCUACAACCAUCCCAGACGGCUGAUAACAAGAUGAAGGGCCAAGGCAUCAGCUCCUCUGAAGGAGCGGACCAGUCAGGCUAGCUCUGAUCCUGGGCUGAUAUUAAUCAAAGGCACAGAGCCCAAAUCGAGUCAUCAGGGCUUCUGAGUCAAGCCACGAGCUGGCCCAGCCACCCUUUACGAGAACAGCUAACACCUGCCCAUCAGGUUUUAAAGGCCUUGGUGAGACGGGCUUCCUAGCGAUGGGGCCACUCAGCAGAGAGCUCUGCAUUUCCCUGAUGAAUCACCUUCCGUAUUUCUUGGUUCUGCCCCUCACUGUCUUCUGGCCUCAAAGAAUCAGUUUUUUGACUAUUGAACACUGCUACCUUCUCUGCACUCAAUUUUGGCUGUUCUUGGUACUUAUGCAUUACCAGCGCCCGCAGCCAUAAGCGCAGGCUAACAUUGUCAGCUGCAUCCAAUAAACUGACUGGGCGCAUGUCUUUGAGAAAGUGACUCAUUGGAGCUGGAGAGAUGGCUCAGUGCUCUUCCAGAGGUCCUGAGUUCAAAUCCCAGCAACCACAUGGUGGCUCACAACCAUCUGUAAUGAGAUCUGAUGCUCUCUUCUGGUGUGUCUGAAGACAGCUACAGUGUAUUCAUACAUAAAAUAAAUAAAAUCUUUAGAGAGAGAGAGAAAGUGACUCAUCAUAGGGCAACAGUUUCUUAAUAGGAAGUUGCCCAAGGAAGGAAGAGGUCAGAGCUCCGUAGAUAGGCCCUUUCUCAAAAUGGCCCAAUUCUCUAAUCACCCUGAAGGACUCUGUGUAAAGGAAUGCCCAGGCAUGAUGGAAAACUGCCACGUGUUCUUGCUAAACCAGAGAGGCAAGUGCGAUGCACUGCACACACAAAUUAGAUUCCAUUUUGGUAAAAAGCAAAGCAAAACGACUGGUCACUUGCUGAUGCAUGACUUAAAGGUGGGGAGAUCUCUGAGUCUGAGGCCAGCCUGAUCUAGUCUACAAAGCAGGUUCCAGGACAGCCAGGGCUGAGGGACUGAGGGGAUUUGAGACGGGGUCUCACUAAGUGGCCUAGGUCUGGAACUGACCAUGCAAACCAGGCUGGCCUCAAACUCAAGAGAUCUCCCUGCCUCUGCUUCCUGGACGCUAUGUGCCUUCAGACUGGACUUUCCAACUGUUGGAAAGGUUUGUGUAUGUGUGUCUGGUGUCCAAGGAAGCUAGAACAGAGCAUUGGAUCCGCCUAAACUGGAAUUAUAGAUGUUUGUAAGCCACCAUGUGGGUGCUUAGAAAGAAACCUGAGAUUUUUUGAAAGGGCAGCACAUGCUCUGAGCACAUGCCCUCAUUAAAAAAAAAAACAAAAACAAAAACCCAAGAUGAUAUCCAUGUGUGUUUAUGCCACAUAGACGCCAGAAGGCAUCUGAUCCCCUGAAGCUAGAAUUACAGGCCGCUGUGAGCCACCCAAUAUGGGUGUUGGGAACUGAACCCUGGUCCUCAGAAAAGCACACUGUGACCCUAAGUACUAAGUCACCACUUCCAUCCAUCAACAGACUUUGACACUCGGACACAGACUGGCCUUGAACUCAUGAUCCUUCUGACUCAGCCUUCACGCAACAUACAUUGCAGUAGCUAUGCACCUACAGCUAAUUCCUCAUGUUCUUUUCAGAUACUGUAGAGAGUUCAGAGUUCUCAUGCCUGGGUACAGUUUCCUGUGAUGUGGACUUACAUCUGUGACUGAAGGUAGAUCUGUAUCUGCAGAGCACUGCGGUCAAAGUUCAUAGCCUGUUUCACUUCCUUAGCUGUGUCUUGCUAUCUUUGUUCUGCUCUUAAGCCUCACCCAGGAAAUACUGCAUUAAGCCAUCUUGUCACUAGGAUCCUCUCAGUGGGGACAGUUGCUUAAUCUGUGCCUGCAUUAGACAUUGGUCAGAAAACUUGGUUGCCAGCCCGCCACUGGAGCCUCUCCUUUAUCUGAUGAUAAGACAGAGGUCAUGGGUCACUGGAAGGAUUGCAGAAGGGGCUGGGGUUGCCACACGCUACCAGCAUGACUUACAUCAUUGGCUUGUCUGGCAGAUUAACCACACAAGAUGGUCAAAGUCAUUAUCCCCAUUCCAUGGAUGGAGAAGUCGAGUGUUUGAGUUCUAGCCAGGAGCCUGCUUAGAGCUGCAAGCUGCCCUGGAGGCCACUGUGGAAGGGCAAAAUGUGAUGCUAAGUAGGGCCAGUUUCCACAGAUGGGACAGAGCCACAUGGAAAGCAGGGAGAAGAGGCAUCCUGGUGCUUCUCUUUGAGGGUGAGGGGAAUGUGGGAAGGUCUCCUCUCAGACGGAGGGGCGCAUAGCUAAGCUAACCGGGUGAGCUGCUGCAGUAACUCACACCUGUGAAGCUAGCACCCAAGUGUGGGGGCGGAGGACUGUUGCGAGUUUGAAGCCAGCCUGAGCUACAAUGUAACACUCUGCCUCAAAACACAGAGGUUAAAGUUGCAUGAUGACCUCAGCUCAGACCCCCUAGUGCCGUGUUUAAGGAUCAGGAAAGCCACACUUGUAAUCCCAGCUCAAGAGAGCUGAGGAUUUCUUGGCCACUCAGUUGGGAAGAAUUGCUAAUUCUAGGUUUGGGGACAGUUCCUGUCUCAAAAGGCAAAGUGGGGCACAUUUGAAGGAGAGACGGUGUGACCUCUGGACCUUAAAAGCAUGUAUGUUUCCCCUCAAAUAAAGAGUAGUUUUGUUGUGAGCUGGUUUCAAACUCAGCUCUAAGGGCUUUCACAGGUUCGCAUGAUCAAGAUUGGUUUUCUCCAAAUACAAGAUAUUUUUCUAAAUACAACACCAGUCAGAGAAAGCCAAAAAGUAUCUACAUGUAGGGGUAAGGUACCUACUGCAUAGAGAAAUGAAAUUGGUGAGAGAAACAGCUUUAACAACAUCCCUAGGUGGUAGGGAGGGGGGUCACUAACAUUGGGGAUAUUUGAAAAGCCACACAGAAACUCAUUCUAUAAGUUUACUAAAAAAUAGAAUUAAGUCGAUGCAGUAGUGCACACCUUCAACCCCAGCACUCAGGAGGCAGAGGUGGUCAGAUUGCUGGGAACUCAAGCUCAGUGUGAUCUACAAACAGGUCCGAGACUACACAGCGAAACUGUCUUAAAAACAAGUAUUAAAAAAUCUAUAUUCAUAUGUAUGUGUAUAUAUGUAUAUAUAUAUAUGUAUAUUUAUUUAAGAGGGCUUGGAGGUAUACUACACAGGGCUAAAGCUCUGUCCCAGAAGCCAUAGGUUAUUAAAAUGCUCCUCUCAACAAAGAGAUACCUCCUGUUGUCAGGAUGAGCCCCAGGUCCCUCAAACAAUACAAGCUAAUGCUAUUAUUGCUCUUGGUUACCCACCGCAACAUGAUAGACCAUGUUGCUGGGGACGCCACACUCUGGCGAACAGCACAUGAAGAAAUUAAUCUGGAACCAACCUGGAAACCGUUCAUAGCACUAGAAGGUACUGUGCAGGUUACUCAGGGAGAAAAGCCCACUACAGCAUGUGUAGCCGUGACCCCUCAAGCCACACCAGAAGACCGCCCUAGCAAGACAUCUAUGUCCAUCAGUGCCAUGGUGGCAUUAAUAUUAAUUAGGGAGGUACCCAUUCCCAGUUCAGAUUUAGGGCUUACUCCACAGGAGGGGGUCAUGCCUGGUGCUGUACCUGGUCAAGAACCUGUAGCUGAGGAGGUCCUAGGGGAGGACAACGGCGACUUCUGUCUUACUUCUCUGCCCCGUAGAGAGCCAUCUUUACACGAACAGGCAAGGGCAGCUCGGCCUCACAGCUCGUCACUGUCCAUUCAGUGGAGAGCAGUUAACAGAGUCCCAGAAGGUCAAGGUGCAGCCCAUGUGACUUCAGUAGCUCCACCUAAAUGAGACAUGUGUACCACACCACCUCCUUCAGGUCACCACAAAAGCAGGGACAAGGAAAAGUCUUCUGGGCAUGACAGUCUCGAAGCAGCAGCUCUGAUGUCCGCCCACAACCAAGCCAGUCAACCUUCCAGCGAGCUUGGAAGAGGUGUUGAGGUCUGGUCUGUUAGGUGUUGUCAUGCUGAACACUGACCCCCAGAUCUGGUUGCCCCAGGGAGAAGAUCCUGUGCACAUGCUGCUGUGUGACCUGCCCCCACCCCAAGAUAUCCCUAAUUGGUCAAUAAAGAUGCCCAUGUGCUGCAGCUGGGCAGGAGAGGGGAAGGUGGAGCCUGGGGUCUGAGGGGUAGACCAUGAGGAGAGAUCAGAGAGGACACUAUGCGUAAGGGAUAGUGAAAACUGGCCAAGAGGGGAUCCAGUUGGAGUAAGAGUGGCCCAGGCAGAACAUGGCAAGUCCUAUAUCUGGGUUAUUGGUAGGGAAGUAGACAAAAUAGCCAUAGAGGCUUUUACAAGUGUAAAGGGUGUGUCUUUUAUCUGGGAACUAAAUAAUCUAAGGCAGGCUGGAAACUUCCAAUUAAUAUCAUUUACCACACAAAGGGGCUCAUGGGACUCCAUCACUCUGAGGCCCUGGGGACAGGCUGCUGGGGGAGGAGUGGGCUGUGAAUGGUCCCAUACCCACGCACAUGCCCAACACUAAGUGACCUCAGGGACUUAGAAAGAGAGCUGACUUGAGGCUGAGAGGGGGACAGGGAUAGGAAUGGGGUCGAGGAAGAGUUGGGGGAGAAAUUAAAACACUGUAUGCCUUUCUCAAAGAAUGAAAACACUGUGUAUUUGAUAAACCUGUUGUGUCUUCUCAAAACUACUCUUUCUGCCAGCACCACGCAGAAAACAAAAUCCUGCUUUCCUGCAAGUUUUCACACUGUAGACACAAACUCUUUUUUUUUUUUUUUUUUUUGUUCUUUUUUUCGGAGCUGGGGACUGAACCCAGGACCUUGCGCUUCCUAGGUAAGCGCUCUACCACUGAGCAUAGAACCUUUUAAAAAUAAUUCUAGGGGGUUGGGGAUUUAGCUCAGUGGUAGAGCGCUUGCCUAGCAAGCGCAAGGC